UUGUGUCCACCGCAGGUCGAAACAGCGGUUCCCGUAAGAUCACUGAAGUUAAGCAACGCCGAGCCUGGUGAGUACCUAGAGGCUGACCGCUAGGGAAUACCAAGUACU